rnacentral:rRNA from 1 species
UACGAAGGGGGCUAGCGUUGCUCGGAAUCACUGGGCGUAAAGCGCACGUAGGCGGCUUUUUAAGUCAGGGGUGAAAUCCCGGGGCUCAACCUCGGAACUGCCUUUGAUACUGCGGGUCUUGAGUCCGAUAGAGGUGGGUGGAAUUCCUAGUGUAGAGGUGAAAUUCGUAGAUAUUAGGAAGAACACCGGUGGCGAAGGCGGCCCACUGGAUCGGUACUGACGCUGAGGUGCGAAAGCGUGGGGAGCAAACAGG